rnacentral:lncRNA from 1 species
UAGUGUUUACUGGAUGGAUGGACAGACGGACAGAUAGAAGGAAUUUACCAACAGCGAAGCGAGUGAAAUGUCCCAGUGCCUUGAACCAAGAAGCAGAGUAGAAGGAUUUGCUGGUGAAGGGAAUUCUCUUCCUAGGGCCGGCUGCUUUGGAAUUUGCCUGUAGGUUAAGUGUGGACCUGACCCCACUUCCCAGAAUUCAGUCAUCACUGAGUUAGCCCUGGGGAGCGGUCCAGCAUGAGUCAUAUGCCUUCUUCCCAUAUCUGGUGCCGUGUAUUUAUAGCUAAUGCUGGUGGUUUGUCACUUGCUAAACAGCAGAAGAAGAAUGACUGCAUGAAGGCCAAGCAGAAGACUAAUGGAAACGGUUUUAAUAAUUAAUUUUUAAAAGGCUUAUGAAUGGCGAGUCAGCUGGGAAGCUAUAGAAACAUUUAAGCUGAAAUUUCAGCUAAAAGAUGCUGCUCUUUGGAUUCUUCUGGGGUUAAGUGGGGGUAAUUUAAAGCUGGCAGGAAGAAGGCCCAUGAUACAUCGUUUUGCUUGCCUUUUUCCCCCCCUUUUAAACAGCAAACCAUAUCCUUGAGUGCUGCAAGUUGAUGGGAGCCAAUGAAAUGUGGAAUGGCAUGGAUGGGAAGUUACAUUACUUAAUAGGUAUUAUUUUAUGGUAUAAUACAGUUUUCAAAAUCACUCAGAUAAUAUUUAACCUUCCUUUUCCUUUUAGCCUAAUUGGCACAUGUCUUCCUCCAGAUAAUUUUCACAGAGCAGAAAGUUCUAUGGAGGUUUUCUACUUAAGUUUUCCCCUUCCAUGAGUAUUUCAAUUGAUGGGUCUCAAGGAGCUCUCGGUAAAAUGUUAACAAAAGUUAAUUUGUAAAUGCGGCCACUCCCCUCUGUGAAAGAGAGAAUGGAACUCGCAUUUAUUGAGCAUCUAGAACGUUCAAAACAUGGUUAGGCAGUUUUUCAUGAGGUGUCUCAAGAAGUCUUCUCCACUGCAUUGAAAAGCUAUCGCCAUUUCAUUGAUAGUCUUGGCGAGGUUAGGCAGUUGUCCAACUUACACAGCAUGUGGCCCCAAUAGGGGAUGGAUCAAGUUUCAUCUAGCUUAAAUCUCCAUUUUUGCCCCAUGUCUUACUGUGUUCCAGUGACCCUGUAGUCAGAAACCUUGUUAUCUAAAUAUGGAAGCAAAAGAAGUGCUCUAAGAUGUUCCUCUCUCUAGCUCUUUCCUUCUUUUGGAGAAAACGAGCAAACCUGCCCCCCUGGCUCCCCCCAUCACUAAUCUGUUCAGUGCCCAGACCGAAGUUGUAUAAAAAGAUGAUAAUUUACAUUUGGAUAGUAAUUCAGGAAUUUACAAAGAGUCUGCAACCUCUCAUUUCAUCCUCAUUUUACAGCAGAAGAAAAACUAAAAUCCAAAUAGAUUUGUGACUUAAAGUCUCAUUGUUAAUUAGUAGCAGGGGACUUAACUAAAUUCAGAAUCCCUGAUUCCAAAUACUCUUUCCAUUGCAUCCUCAAGUGAGAACAUGUGUGACUUUUCUCUAAGGAUGAAGAGGAUUUCACUCUCCAGAGCUCCAUUUGUUUCUUCUCUUAUCUUAAGGAGAGCCUAUCCUGCCAAGACAUGGAAUUUAUUACCCUCGGAAUAAGCUUCACUCACAAGCCUCUCCAUACCCUACUGUAAUUAUCUGGAUGUGCAGAUACUAUUCUCCGACAAAAAAACGUCAAAACAUUCCACAAAUGGGCGUAGUGGAACACAUGCAAAUGGUUAAACCAUCAUUAUUUAUUCCCAGUGAUAUGAGGGUGGUCCUCGGCAGAGCAGAGAGAGGAGGCUCAGGCGAGAAUUCCACCCACUAAAAGAGAGCUGCUCCCCCCUGCGACUUCUUACGUAACUGCUACUGAAGUCCACGGCUAAGCAAGCCCAAGUCUUUUCCACAAGAUGUCAGAACAGGAGUGAGGACCCUAGUGGUUGUCGAGUCUCCCCUUCACAUUGUACUUUAAGAAAAUGAGGAGGAAGAGUUCUCUUGUGUCGCAGUGGGUCAAGGAGUGGGGCGGGGGGAAGGCGUGGACACUGCAGUGGUUCAGGUCACUGCUGUGGUUUGGGUUCAAUCCCUGGCCCAGGAACAGCUUCCACAUGCCAUAGGUGCAGCAAAAAAAGAAAGAAAGAGAAAUAGACUUCUCAAUAGAAAUAAGAGAAGCAAAAGACAGUGAUGAAAUGGGCUAAAAGGCGUUCAUUGCCAAUGCAGAGUUCAACACACCAAAAAUACCCUUCAAGAAUGAAGAAAUACAUUUUCAGAUGAUAAAAUCAGUUUAUCACCAAUAAACCUGCCCAAAGGAAAUUCCAAAGAUAAAUCCAAGUUGAUUGAAGUUUAAUGAUGCAAGAAUAAUUGAAGAGCAAAGAAAGUGACAUCUUGUGUAGUUAAAAAUAUUUACAAGAGAACUGAAACACACGACAACACUAGCAUAUAAAUCAUAUAAACUUCAACUGUUUACCCAAGUCCUCACAUCAUCUGAGAGGAGACUAAAUGUAUUAACUCACAUUGGACUCUGAUAGGUCGGCAAUGCAUGGUUUGCUGUAAGUGACCACUAAAGGGUAAAAAUAUAUUACUUUCAACUGACAGUCCAAAAUGGGAUGACGGAGAAAGACAAAAAUCUAGAGGGGGGUGGGACGACAUUCUAUUAACAUCAAAUGUAAAUGGAGUAAAUGCUCCGAUUCAAAGACAAGAAUUGUAGGGAGUUCUCAGGUGGCCCAGCAGGUUAAGGAUCUGGCAUUGUCACUGCAGUGGCUCAGGUCACUGUUGUGGCACAGGUUCGAUCCCUGGCCCGGGAACUUCUGCAUGCUUCACGCAUGGCCAAAAAAAGACAAGAAUUGUCAAACUAAAAUUUUAGAAGUCCAACCAUAUGCUCUUUAUGAGAGAGACAUCUAAAACAUACGGAUACCAGUAGAUUGAAAUAAUGGAAUUAAGUUACGCCGUGGUAGGUAUUAUUACAUAAAACUUAAGGCAGAAUGCAUUACUAAGAGUAAAGGUCAUUGUAUAAUAAAAAUUCCCAAUCACCAGAAGUAUCUACUAAUUCUAGAUUCUACUUACGACUUCAAAACACAUGAAGCAAAAAUUGAUCAUCUACAAGGAGAAAUAUAUAAAUGUACAAUCACGGCGAGAGAUUUUAACACAUUAAAAUCCCGAGGGCAAUCCUUACCUCGUGCAGGAUGAGAACCAAGCAGUAGAAAAAUAAUCACCACGUCACCCUCAAGUGGUGAUUCUACAUGGCUCUUCAGACAGUCCCCAGAAAAGUAAAGCCCAUUUCCUCUCAGCAGAGAUCAGCUCAGUAGAACAUUGAAUUGGAUUGUCUUCCUUCCUUGUCUUGCUCUCCCCAGACCCCGUUCUUUUUCCCUUGGACUCAUCCCAGAGUAAAUUCUUGCAUGCAAAGUACUUCUCUCAACCCUGCUACUUUGUGGACCCAGGCUAAGACACUUGGUGAUACAAGCAGUUCUACAAACAAACCGUCCAAAUGGAUUCUAGUAUUGGACCAACUGGAUCCAGUAAGGAUCCCAGUCAUGUUGGUAAAUGGGGUGACAUUAACCCUUGGCACGCAGCAGCAUCACAGUUGCUGAGGUUUUCACCAGCAGUGAAUUGGAAUGGUGAAUUCGGAAGAUGAGGCAUUGCUUUAUGUAGUGGCAAUUCAUAAAAAAAUACGUGGUCAAUGUUAAUUAUAGGGAAUGUAGAGCUGGCUGACUCUGGUUGCUGGUCUUUAGAAGUCUUGUGAGAGGAGAGGAAAAUGGCAGCUUGAUUGGCCAACUGUCAACCUCAAGGAAUGCUGUGCAACUGGGAAAGUUUCCAGGACAACAGAGAAAUGUCCCUCUCCCCCCAACAGCCCUAGGAAGAUAGUUGCCAUUCAUCCUAGGCUUUAAUUGUGAGUACAGCUUGGUUACCAAGGAGAACACAGCCUUAAGGAGACUCUGAGGUCAGUGUCAGGGCCCAGCUAAGGAAACAGCAGACCUUGAGACAUGGGGUAAGGGUAUUUGAAUGGACAAAUCUGAGACCCUUGAACCCCACAUUCCUCUGAUCCCAGGAACUGUCCCUCCUCCUUCCUGGAGAGGAAUGGUCUUCCCUGGCUGCAGACACUGCGAAGACACCACUAGAGGCAGGAGCUUCACAAGGUGGGGUUCGUCCUAAGAUCUGCCUCUACCUCCUUUGUUUCCUCCAGACCAGCCGUCAAGUCAGGCGCAGCCCAAGCAAGAUGAUCCAGCUCCUCCUUUCGGGAGAUACCGUGUGUACUCAAAGGCUCGAAAGUGUUGGUUAACAGGCGCUAAAGGUGAACCAGAGACCUCAUGUUGGACUGGGUCUUAAGGAGCAGCCAAGGAAAGAUGCCUCCUUGUGUUUCAGUUUCUUCAACUGUCAAAUCUGAUUACGAGUGCCUGUCCAACCUACUUUAUAUACUUAUUAGAGUAAAUGAAGAAAUUAAUAUUAUAGUGAACUCUGCUAGGGACUAUACUAGGCACUUCACAUAAAUUAUUUAAUUAGGAUAAAAUUGGGCAAGUGUAAACACUUAAUCUAGUUCUAAACUUGUUUAGAACACAAACACAACAUUGUAAUCAACUACACACCAAUACAUUUUUUAAAAGAAGACUUAAAUGUGUUAUUUUUAAUAGCAUGCCCUAGGAAAAAUGCAGAUUUGUGAAACCUUGUUGCCUAAAAGGAAAGAAGAAAAGGAAGCCGGUGUUUCAAAAACUCAGACAUAUUAGAAUAUGGCAUUGAGUAAGCUGUUGUCUUGUUUGGGGGAAGGUGGACCAUCUGAAGAGGGCUUUAGGGACAGUUCUAGUCAUUGACCUUGGGAGAAGCAGGGUAGGAACAGUGCUGCUGCGGAAGCUGAGAGAGCAGUUCUGUGUCCAGUGGAGCACAGUGAACUCCUGGGUGGCACCUGUGGUGUCUUGGGUAACGCAUGGCCUCCCACCCAGACUGCCUCGGUUGGAAUCCCAGCUCUGGCGCUCAGCCCACUGGGGGAUAUUGGACAGGUAGUUACAAAACUCCAUUUUAUGGAGUUCCCUGGUGGCACAGCAGGUGAAGAAUUUGACCUUGGUAGUGCUGCAGCUCAGGUCACUGGUGUGGCAUGGGUUCCACCUCUGGCCUGGGAACUUCCGUAUGCCGGGGACACGGCCGAAAAAAAAAAAUCAAAACCAAAAAACCCUCUACUUGAGCUCUUUCAUCUGCAAUACAGUAGUAUCUAUUGCAUAGGAUGUUUGAAGAUAGAAUGGUUUAAUUUAGAAAAUGAAUGGUGACAAUUACUAUAGAAGCACCAGAAAGCCUGCUUGUUCUGGUGGAAUCAUGCAUGUCCUACAUGGUGUCUAGAAUAAAGGAGAUUCUUAAGAUGGAUAUAAAUUGGAUAAAUGAAAUGCCCAGAUAUCAGGGGUAUACAUGAGACAGGAUAGCUGUGAGUUGGAAAUGGUUGAGGCUCAGUAGUAGGUACGUGGAGAUUUGUUAUACUAUUUUCUGUGCUGUUGUGUACCUUUGAAAUUUUCCUUACUAAAAACGCUUUUUUAAAAGAAUGUUGUAGCUCAGCGGGUUAACCCAGCUAGUAUCCAUGAGGAUGCAGGUUCAAUCCCUGGCCUCGUUCAGUGGGGGUUAAGGAUCUGGUGUUGCCUGAGCUGUGGUGUAGGUCACAGAUGUGGCUUGGAUCCUGUAUUGCUGUGGCUGUGGCCUAGGCCAGCAGCCGCAGCUCUGAUUGAGCCCUUAGCUUGGGAACCUCCAUAUGCCUCAGGUGCAGCCCUAGAAAAGAAAAAAAAAAAAAGAGUUCAUUGAGGACUAACUGAAUGGCUGAAUGAGGGAAGAAAUAGGUAUUUGACAGAACAAAACACGGCCCAAGUUCAAGUUGCUCUCCCAGGAAAACUCAGGAAGUAACCUCCAGGUACAUAAACACACUCCGCACAGGCACGAGGUCGAAGCCUCCAGUGCACAGACAUUGUAAAGUUAAACGGUAGCUAAAAUAGCUCAGCUGCCAUGUGGAAUGAUUAGUUUACGCAGCCUCGAGACACGAACCUGAUGUGCAGCUCGUUUAUUUUUCAUACUUACAUAAAGCCGCAGCACCUGUGUUUGGGGAUGGAGCUCUCACGUGAGCAGUUAAUGAAGCGCAACUGGUAAGCAGAUGUUUCUAGAAACUCUGCUUUUGUUGAUU